AGCUCAGGGAUACACACAGUGGACUUUUGGCCUCCAGCACUAUGAACUGAGCUCAGUCCAUGGGGUUUACACAGCAAGCAUUUUACCAACGGAUCCAUGUGGCUUGUGCCAAGUCCCCAUCAACACUGCUGAGUUGCUGUAAUACUCAAACCAGUUCAGAGCCUCAUUUCUUUUGCUUCAUUAUCCUGGAAAAUGCCUGUCAUGUGAGGCCCUGAAGCAUCUGCGAGAUCUGUCAAGCUAUCCCAGAACUGAAGAGGAUGUUCACCAUGGCCUUCCAUGUUCCUGCUCUUACUGUGUUAUGAAUCAAACCUGCUACCUGGAGAAAGCUGCCAAUCAAAUAUGAUGACAUCAACAAGCCCACGUGUGGUAGAACUGAGAGGUAGGACAGAAAGUGAUUCAUUUACGAUUGUUCCACGGCUACAGGAAAACCUCAGAAAGAGAUUGCCUUUCCUUUCCUGUCUUCUGAUAUGUGAGCUAAGUCAGCAACACCAGUGACAACAGCCUGACCUUGGACCUUUAGAACAGUGAGUAGUUGACGUCUGUGCUUUAUAAAC
rnacentral:lncRNA from 1 species